AGACCCGAAACCCGGUGAUCUAGCCAUGGGCAGGUUGAAGGUUGGGUAACACUAACUGGAGGACCGAACCGACUAAUGUUGAAAAAUUAGCGGAUGACCUGUGGCUGGGGGUGAAAGGCCAAUCAAACCGGGAGAUAGCUGGUUCUCCCCGAAAGCUAUUUAGGUAGCGCCUCGUGAAUUCAUCUCCGGGGGUAGAGCACUGUUUCGGCUAGGGGGCCAUCCCGGCUUACCAACCCGAUGCAAACUGCGAAUACCGGAGAAUGUUAUCACGGGAGACACACGGCGGGUGCUAACGUCCGUCGUGAAGAGGGAAACAACCCAGACCGCCAGCUAAGGUCCCAAAGUCAUGGUUAAGUGGGAAACGAUGUGGGAAGGCCCAGACAGCCAGGAUGUUGGCUUAGAAGCAGCCAUCAUUUAAAGAAAGCGUAAUAGCUCACUGGUCGAGUCGGCCUGCGCGGAAGAUGUAACGGGGCUAAACCAUGCACCGAAGCUGCGGCAGCGAACGUAUCACCCAAGACAACUUUACGGAGUUGACGAUUGACGGAGCGAAGCGACGUCAAAGCGUUCAUUAAAGUCGAGUUGGCUUAGGGAUACGUUCGUUGGGUAGGGGAGCGUUCUGUAAGCCUGUGAAGGUGUGUCGUGAGGCAUGCUGGAGGUAUCAGAAGUGCGAAUGCUGACAUAAGUAACGAUAAAGCGGGUGAAAAGCCCGCUCGCCGGAAGACCAAGGGUUCCUGUCCAACGUUAAUCGGGGCAGGGUGAGUCGACCCCUAAGGCGAGGCCGAAAGGCGUAGUCGAUGGGAAACGGGUUAAUAUUCCCGUACUUGGUGUUACUGCGAAGGGGGGACGGAGAAGGCUAUGUUGGCCGGGCGACGGUU
rnacentral:rRNA from 5 species